rnacentral:rRNA from 1 species
GACGAACGCUGGCGGCGUGGUUAACACAUGCAAGUCGAACGGAAAGUUCCUGCUUUUGUGGGGUGCUCGAGGUGAGAACGGGUGAGUAACACGUGAGUUACCUGUACUUGCCUUUGGGGUAAGUUAAGGCAACUGGGUGUCAUACGGGCUAGGAGUUCUUGCCUUAUGGUGGGGGUGGGUUAGUUUCGUCGGUUGGUGAUGUACUAGCGGAUUAUCAGCUUGUUGGGUGGGUGGUGGCUUACCAAGGCAUUGAAGCGUAGCAGGCCUGAGCGGGUGACCUGACACAGUGGGACUGAGCUACGACCCAGACUCGUACGGGAGGCAGCAGUGGGGAAGAGUGCACGAGGGGCGGAAGCCGAAUGCAGUAACGCCGCGUGCGGGAUGACGGCAUUCGGGUUGUAUACCGCUUUCGCCUGUGACGAAGCGUGAGUGACGGUAAUGGGUAAAGAAGCACCGGCUAACUACGUG